ACUCAAAGGAAUAGACGGGGCCCCGCACAAGCGGCGGAGCAUGCGGAUUAAUUCGAUGCAACGCGAAGAACCUUACCAAGGCUUGACAUGCAGGGAAAACUCAUAGAGAUAUGAGGUCCGCAAGGGUCCUGCGCAGGUGGUGCAUGGUUGUCGUCAGCUCGUGUCGUGAGAUGUUGGGUUAAGUCCCGCAACGAGCGCAACCCUCGUCUUAUGUUGCCAGCGGGUCAUGCCGGGGACUCAUAAGAGACUGCCGGGGUCAACUCGGAGGAAGGUGGGGAUGACGUCAAAUCAUCAUGCCCCUUAUGUCUUGGGCUUCACGCAUGCUACAAUGGCUGGUACAAAGGGCUGCGAGACCGCAAGGUGGAGCGAAUCCCAAAAAGCCAGUCUCAGUUCGGAUUGGGGUCUGCAACUCGACCCCAUGAAGUCGGAGUCGCUAGUAAUCGCAGAUCAGCAACGCUGCGGUGAAUACGUUCCCGGGGCUUGUACACACCGCCCGU
rnacentral:rRNA from 1 species